UGAACGCUGGCGGCAUGCCUUACACAUGCAAGUCGAACGGCAGCGCGGGGCAACCUGGCGGCGAGUGGCGAACGGGUGAGUAAUAUAUCGGAACGUACCCUGGAGUGGGGGAUAACGUAGCGAAAGUUACGCUAAUACCGCAUACGAUCUAAGGAUGAAAGUGGGGGAUCGCAAGACCUCAUGCUCCUGGAGCGGCCGAUAUCUGAUUAGCUAGUUGGUAGGGUAAAAGCCUACCAAGGCAUCGAUCAGUAGCUGGUCUGAGAGGACGACCAGCCACACUGGAACUGAGACACGGUCCAGACUCCUACGGGAGGCAGCAGUGGGGAAUUUUGGACAAUGGGCGAAAGCCUGAUCCAGCAAUGCCGCGUGAGAGAAGAAGGCCUUCGGGUUGUAAAGCUCUUUUGUCAGGGAAGAAACGGUGAGGGCUAAUAUCUCUUGCUAAUGACGGUACCUGAAGAAUAAGCACCGGCUAACUACGUGCCAGCAGCCGCGGUAAUACGUAGGGUGCAAGCGUUAAUCGGAAUUACUGGGCGUAAAGCGUGCGCAGGCGGUUUUGUAAGUCUGUCGUGAAAUCCCCGGGCUCAACCUGGGAAUGGCGAUGGAGACUGCAAGGCUAGAGUUUGGCAGAGGGGGGUAGAAUUCCACGUGUAGCAGUGAAAUGCGUAGAUAUGUGGAGGAACACCGAUGGCGAAGGCAGCCCCCUGGGUCAAGACUGACGCUCAUGCACGAAAGCGUGGGGAGC
rnacentral:rRNA from 1 species